rnacentral:rRNA from 1 species
UGUUUCGGCUAGGGGGCCAUCCCGGCUUACCAACCCGAUGCAAACUGCGAAUACCGGAGAAUGUUAUCACGGGAGACACACGGCGGGUGCUAACGUCCGUCGUGAAGAGGGAAACAACCCAGACCGCCAGCUAAGGUCCCAAAGUCAUGGUUAAGUGGGAAACGAUGUGGGAAGGCCCAGACAGCCAGGAUGUUGGCUUAGAAGCAGCCAUCAUUUAAAGAAAGCGUAAUAGCUCACUGGUCGAGUCGGCCUGCGCGGAAGAUGUAACGGGGCUAAACCAUGCACCGAAGCUGCGGCAGCGACACUUUAGUGUUGUUGGGUAGGGGAGCGUUCUGUAAGCCGUUGAAGGUGUCCUGUGAGGGGUGCUGGAGGUAUCAGAAGUGCGAAUGCUGACAUAAGUAACGAUAAAGCGGGUGAAAAGCCCGCUCGCCGGAAGACCAAGGGUUCCUGUCCAACGUUAAUCGGGGCAGGGUGAGUCGACCCCUAAGGCGAGGCCGAAAGGCGUAGUCGAUGGGAAACGGGUUAAUAUUCCCGUACUUGGUGUUACUGCGAAGGGGGGACGGAGAAGGCUAUGUUGGCCGGGCGACGGUUGUCCCGGUUUAAGCGUGUAGGUGUGUGUUCCAGGUAAAUCCGGUUCACUUUAACACUGAGGCGUGAUGACGAGGCACCACGGUGCUGAAGCAACAAAUGCCCUGCUUCCAGGAAAAGCCUCUAAGCAUCAGGUAACAUCAAAUCGUACCCCAAACCGACACAGGUGGUCAGGUAGAGAAUACCAAGGCGCUUGAGAGAACUCGGGUGAAGGAACUAGGCAAAAUGGUGCCGUAACUUCGGGAGAAGGCACGCUGACACGUAGGUGAAGUGAUUUACUCAUGGAGCUGAAGUCAGUCGAAGAUACCAGCUGGCUGCAACUGUUUAUUAAAAACACAGCACUGUGCAAACACGAAAGUGGACGUAUACGGUGUGACGCCUGCCC